rnacentral:lncRNA from 1 species
CUCAAAGAAAGUUAGUCUUCCCUACGAUCUUCAGGGUUUUGCCAUUAUUUAUUGAUUUUCACAUUAUAAAGUUUAAACUCGCCCCAGGGAAAGGGAAGAGGAGGUAAUUCCAGAGCUGUUGUAUUGUAUCUGGCUAAGCCAAGUGGCCUCCGUACUUCCCACUGGUCCUCCCAACACCGGGAUGUUGAAGGAGGACAUCACCCACGAAGAGCAAUCACAAGCAAACUUACCAGUUCCCCACGAAAGAACCCUCUGCUAUGUUCAACAAUAGAACGAGAAAUGGGCCAGGUCAAGGCUCUGCCAGCACAGUCUCCUGCAGAAAGUCCAGGUAGAUGUGAAGUUGUCAGAGUAUUUAUAUCCCAGUGUCCUCACAGAGCUUCUUAUUUCCUGGCAAGAAGAAUUUUGACAAAGGCACGUUAGUGUGGUGAUGGCUGGACCGCCACAAGUGGCGCCUGAACAGGGACCUGAGUAUUGAGGGAUCCAGUGAAGGACACCGCUGGAUAAAGAAUAAAAGGAGAUCUCGACAAAAACAAAAAAGAGGACCUUCAAAAGGAAGGCAGAAGAGGAGUGGUAAGUUUUCUUGUAAAUAUUAAAAAUGGGAGCAGGCAA